AUGGUUAAACAAGAUCAAUGGACUAACAUCAUUGCCAUCUGACUUGCUAAAAAAUGUUCCCAAGCUGACGUUUUUGUCACUGCACACCAACACACUACUGAGAAUACCAGCAGGACUUCUGGACGGUGUCCCGCUUCUGGAGUUUCUUGCAUUAGAUUUGACGGCACUGUACUCCAUUGAUGGUGCGUUCCUGUCGAAAGUUCCAGAGCUUAGAAGAUUG